rnacentral:rRNA from 1 species
GACGAACGCUGGCGGCGUGCUUAACACAUGCAAGUCGAGCGGUAAGGCCCUUUCGGGGGUACACGAGCGGCGAACGGGUGAGUAACACGUGGGUGACCUGCCCUCAGCUCUGGGAUAAGCCUGGGAAACCGGGUCUAAUACCGGAUAUGACUCCAUGACGCAUGUUGUGGGGUGGAAAGCCUUGUGCGGCUGAGGAUGGGCCCGCGGCCUAUCAGCUUGUUGGUGGGGUGAGGCCUACCAAGGCGACGACGGGUAGCCGGCCUGAGAGGGCGACCGGCCACACUGGGACUGAGACACGGCCCAGACUCCUACGGGAGGCAGCAGUGGGGAAUCUUGCGCAAUGGGCGAAAGCCUGACGCAGCGACGCCGCGUGAGGGAUGACGGCC